rnacentral:lncRNA from 1 species
GCUUCCGGUAAAUAAGUACUACAUCCGGUUUCCGGUCUCCGUGGGAGGCUGGGUGAGGAGUCGCUUGGAGACCAGCCCAGAGCACUUCUCCAGAACCACACGCCCUCUAAGCACAGCUGAAGAAGGUCUGAUGUUCCAAAAUAAGGCUAUGAGAUUUGGAUCUCCGGAAAUGGGUGAGCUAGAUUCUUCGUGCAGUGACCUGAAUUUCGGAUAUGUAUAA